AACGAACGCUGGCGGCAUGCCUAACACAUGCAAGUCGAACGAGACCUUCGGGUCUAGUGGCGCACGGGUGCGUAACGCGUGGGAACCUGCCCUUAGGUUCGGAAUAACUCCCCGAAAGGGGUGCUAAUACCGGAUAAUGUCUUCGGACCAAAGAUUUAUCGCCUUUGGAUGGGCCCGCGUUGGAUUAGCUAGUUGGUAGGGUAAAAGCCUACCAAGGCGACGAUCCAUAGCUGGUCUGAGAGGAUGAUCAGCCACACUGGGACUGAGACACGGCCCAGACUCCUACGGGAGGCAGCAGUGGGGAAUAUUGGACAUUGGGCGAAAGCCUGAUCCAGCAAUGCCGCGUGAGUGAUGAAGGCCCUAGGGUUGUAAAGCUCUUUUACCCGGGAUGAUAAUGACAGUACCGGGAGAAUAAGCUCCGGCUAACUCCGUG
rnacentral:rRNA from 1 species